UGUCGUAACAAGGUCUCCGUUGGUGAACCAGCG
rnacentral:rRNA from 1 species